rnacentral:rRNA from 1 species
AUUGAACGCUGGCGGCAGGCCUAACACAUGCAAGUCGAACGAGUGGCGGACGGGUGAGUAAUGUCUGUGAAACUGCCUUAUGGAGGGGGAUAACUACUGGAAACGGUAUCUCAUCCCGCAUACCAUCAGAUGUGCCCAGAUGGGAUUAGCUAGUUGGUGGGGUAAAGGCUCACCAAUGCUACUAUCCCUAGCUGGUCUGAGAGGACAACCAGCCACACUGGAACUGAGAAACUGUCCAGACUCCUACGGGAGGCAGCAGUGGGGAAUAUUGCACAAUGGGCGCAAGCCUGAUGCAGCCAUGCCGCGUGUAUGAAGAAGGCCUUCGGGUUGUAAAGUACUUUCAGCGGGGAGGCGUUACCCGCAGAAGAAGCACCGGCUAACUCCGUGCCAGCAGCCGCGGUAAUUC